UAACAAUGACAAUGAAGUUUAUUCUUAAAUGUUUACACUUCACACAUUAGUAAAAAAACUAAAAUGAUAAAAGUAAUAAGAAACGUUGAAUCAAGCAUUUCCUUAAAUUUGAGUAAAAAUUGUGCUAUAACUUUGUGGUAAAAACAAUUAAACAAAUAUAUUUCAAAAAAUCUAGCAAACUUAUAUUAAGUGUAUAUAAAUGAAUUGGAUUUAUUUGCGUAACAGACAUAUGCAACAAAAUGUACUUGCUACAAGGUUAUACAUUUUUUACAGCAUCAUACCCAAGAACACUCGAGGCUAUAAUCGCUGCCAAUGGCACAUCAACCAAGGUCUGAAUACUUAUGUAAAUGUGAAUUUCAGUUGUUUAGUUUUUUUGCAAAAAUGUCUUAAAAACUGUUUUUGCUUUGUCAUUAUGCGCUAUUGUGUGUAGGUUGAUGAGGUAUUUUUUUAAAUCAAUUUUAGAAUAAGUCUGUAACAAAACAAAUGUGGAAAAUGUAAGGGAUCUGAAUACUUUCCGAAUGCUCUCUAUACAACAACAUGUACAGUGUUGACCCAGAGGAUAGCGCUUAAAGUAUUAAUUAAAACACUUGUUGCCAAAGUGGUCCUAUGAAGUAAUAGUAUAAUAGAAUGGAAUAGACCAGAAUAGAAUAACUAAAUCAAGAAGGAUUCUAUUGUUCUUAGCCAUAUAUAGUCUCAUAAGUUUGAUUGUUUCAGAAACAUGACAUAUAAAAACUAUAGUUAUAUAAAAUGAAAUUGGACCACGAGGCUGACUAUUUUCGGAAAUAUAACGUUUUUGUCAAAGUUCUUGUAAUCAGAUUCAGUUUUCUGAAACGUAAAAAAUAUUUACAAUUUUACUUUACAAAUGUAAGUUUAAAAAGAUUUUACUUAAAAAAUAUUGAACUAUUUAACAAAACAAAUAUUUCAAAAUAUUUACUGGGUCCUUCUCUUAUUCAUCAUUGUUUAAAAGGCUAAACUGACCCUAGAUCAGCAAUCCUACUCAAAGUAAAUGACAUUGGAUAAAAGUGCCUGCUAGAUGGCAUAUAUUAUUAUAUACUAUUAUAAACCAGGUAGUUUGGGUCCUGGAUGCUGAUUGGUUGAAACAGCAUUUUGCUGUAUAUCAGACAAUAUACCACGAGUGUGAUGCAAAAAUACUUGUUUACAUUUCUAUUGAUGUUGGUAACCAGUUUAUAAUAGCAAGAAGGCACCUCAGGGGUUUGUGGAGUAUGGUCAAUAUACCACGACUAAGGGCUGUAUCCAGGCAAUCCGCAUUGUGUUGUGCUUAAGAACAGCCCUUAUCCGUGAUACAGCAUAUUGGCCAAUAUACCAUACCUCCUUUGACCUUAUUGCUUCAUUAAACCACUACAUUUUAAUAUACUGGUCCAGAUAUACAAGGUUUUUGAUGAACUUGUUGUGUUCAGGUCUUCUUGGUUCUGGUUUUGUUGUGUUCAGGUCUUCUUGGUUCUGGUUUUGUUGUGUUCAGGUCUUCUUGGUUCUGGUUUUGUUGUGUUCAGGUCUUCUUGGUUCUGGUUUUGUUGUGUUCAGGUGGUCUUGGUUCUGAGUUUGUUGUGUGCAGGUGUUCUUGGUUUGGGGUUUGUUGUGUUCAGGUGGUCUUGGUUCUGGGUUUGUUGACUGUUCUGUAGAUCUCAGAGGUGUCCUCCUCAGCUGCUUGUGCCGCCGUGGGUCUGAGGAGAGAGAAACAGAAAUGAUGCAAAUCUGUGUCCCAAAUG
rnacentral:lncRNA from 1 species